GAUGAACGCUGGCGGCGUGCCUAAUACAUGCAAGUCGAGCGAACGGACGAGAAGCUUGCUUCUCUGAUGUUAGCGGCGGACGGGUGAGUAACACGUGGAUAACCUACCUAUAAGACUGGGAUAACUUCGGGAAACCGGAGCUAAUACCGGAUCAUAUUUUGAACCGCAUGGUUCAAAAGUGAAAGACGGUCUUGCUGUCACUUAUAGAUGGAUCCGCGCUGCAUUAGCUAGUUGGUAAGGUAAAGGCUUACCAAGGCAACGAUGCGUAGCCGACCUGAGAGGAUGAUCAGCAGCACUGGAAAUGGGACACGGAGCAGACUACUACGGGAGGCAGAAGUGGGGAAUAGUGGAGAAGGGGCGCAAGCCUGAUCCAGCAAUACAGCGUGGGUGAAGAAGGCUUUCGGGUUGUAAAGCCGUUUUGUUGGGAAAGAAAAGAAGUGGGUUAAUACCCCGCUGUUCUGACGGUAACCAAAGAAUAAGCACCGGCUAACUUCGUG
rnacentral:rRNA from 1 species